UCGCUUUGGCAGCACAUAUACUAAAAUUGAAACAAUGCAUAGAAGAUUAACAUGGCCCCUGUGCAAAGAUGACAUGCAAACCCUACUACAUAUUUCCUUUGUAU